AAUAUCUUUUUGAUCACCUCAUAGAUUCCCUUAUUCAUCUUACACCAUGUCUCCCCUUUAAACCAUAAACAGGUUUACUUUGCACUACUAUUUAAAUGGUAUUGAGUUUUCAAUCUCCCUUAACAAACAGUGUUGUUGCUUAGAUGAAGGUGCAAAGGUAACACCA